rnacentral:lncRNA from 1 species
AACCAUUCACCGUCUUCAUUAGGUAUACCUAGCACCCAGCCCGACCCCGACACCUCUCCCUCCCUGUCUUGCUUUCGCCUUUUCUCUCUCUUUCUCUCUCUAUCUCUUUCUUUCUCUCUGCCCCUCCCUCUCCAGCAGCCCUCGUCGGUCGCUACCGCCGGUCGCCGUCGACCCACGCAUCCACCGCCCGUGCCAACCUCCCUGAGCAACCCACAUUGCAGAUAGCAACCUCCCUUAGCAAGUUUAAACUAGGUUUAUCUCACCUUGCUAUCUCAGCUGCAGUUAUUAGCACACUUUAGAGUAGGUUUAAAACCUAGUUUAACCUUAUCUUCACUACAACAAAAUUGAGCUUUAGUGGCAAUUUAAUAGCGGCGAUUAUCAAAGAGCCACUAUUACUUAUUAUCUUAUUGUACUUUAGCGGCAAUUAUUUUAAACUAUAUAUUUUUACCGACUAAUAUUUAUAUAUUAAAUAUAAUCCUAAUCCAAACUCAACCCUAUCCCAACCCACCCGAACCCACCCUGCGUCGACCUCAUUCGCUCGGACCAAACCCUCUCGCUCAUGUGCUUGAUCAGAUCCGUUCUCUCUCUCUCUUCCCCCCUCUCGCUCAUGCGCUCGAUCAGAUCUGCUCUUUUUCUCUCUCUCUCUCUCUCUCUCUCUCUCUCUUCCCCCCUCCUUUCCCCCUCAUCUCUCGAUCCAAGCCGUAACCCUAGCUUCUCUCCUUGGUUCCUUCCGCUGAUGGCUUCUCCUA